rnacentral:rRNA from 1 species
AUUGAACGCUGGCGGCAGGCCUAACACAUGCAAGUCGAGCGGAUGAAGGGAGCUUGCUCCUGGAUUCAGCGGUGGACGGGUGAGUAAUGCCUAGGAAUCUGCCUGGUCUUGGGGGAUAACGUCCGGAAACGGGCGCUAAUACCGCAUACGUCCUGAGGGAGAAAGUGGGGGAUCUUCGGACCUCACGCUAUCAGCUGAGCCUAGGUCGGAUUAGCUAGUUGGUGGGGUAAAGGCCUACCAAGGCGACGAUCCGUAACUGGUCUGAGAGGAUGAUCAGUCACACUGGAACUGAGACACGGUCCAGACUCCUACGGGAGGCAGCAGUGGGGAAUAUUGGACAAUGGGCGAAAGCCUGAUCCAGCCAUGCCGCGUGUGUGAAGAAGGUCUUCGGAUUGUAAAGCACUUUAAGUUGGGAGGAAGGGAAGUAAGUUAAUACCUUGCUGUUUUGACGUUACCAACAGAAUAAGCACCGGCUAACUUCGUG